UUAUUUCUUUUUAAAAAUUACUACAUUUUUUAUCUCAACCAAUGAGUUUUCUCAUUUUUUACACUUCCAGUUCUCUCCCCCAUUCCACUGGGGUGGAGGGGUGUGGAGUCAGAGUGAGUGACCAGCUGUGUGGUGCUUAGUUGCCAGCUGGGGUUAAACCAUGACAUCUGUGCACUGCUACUUGGGGAUCCAUAGCCAGUAGGUAGAAAAGAUAACGUUUGGUAUGACUAAGCGUAGGUUCUGGAGAUCUUUAAAUGUAAGCGCUUGCGUCAAAGGAAAAGAGCAUGUUAUUGUUGUAUGCUGUUGUUUCCAUAUCAGGGGAUGUGAAAUAUUUCUGGCAGUGCAUUACAAAUACACUGGCGUGGUCCUCUGUGCUCCGUGCUGGAAGAGCAACGACACCUCAAUAAAAGAACAGUGACGACCAGCAUCAAAUGGAAUUCCCCACCUGAUGUGAAGUCGGUUCAGACUGACAGGAUACCGCAGCUCCAUGGUGGUAACUAUUGCACCCUUACUUUCCUUUUUUUCCUUCUCUCUUUCUUGCAUCUAUGCAAAUGUUUAUGUAACUAUUAAACUUGUUUUCUCUAUUCUA